rnacentral:lncRNA from 1 species
AUGUUGGACUUCCAAAUCGUCCUAACACACUGUGUGCUCUCUGUCACUUUAACACUGUGCUGUGAGAAACUAACAUGUGUUAUUAUCGUGACGUUACCGCGGGAAAAGCAUUUUUGCACCUCAGUGUUGAAGCUGCAGUUAACAACAAAGCUCAAAAGCUUGUUGACGGAAGUUGCUCAACAGCAGCAUCACCUGUGCCAUGGCAUCUGCCCGCAUUUUGUCCGGCAAUGUCCGCAGCCCCUUUGCGACCACGAUUCCAAAGUAGUGCGACUCGUCCAGCUCGUCCCCUUGCACAGCACACAUGUCACGCCGGCUUUGUGGGGUCGGGGUGAUGCAGCGCCGUGUCGGGCUGCCCUCGGACCUGGAGGGGCUCGGCAGAGUUGACUCCAUCAACUGCAACGAAACAGAAUGGGAAAUUACUAGUCAAGGAAGCAUCAUCAAGCAGUUAUUAACCUUACCAUAAUGACUGUAUUGUAUGGACCACAUCUCCUCCUCAUUGGGUCAAGAUGAAUUUGCAGAAACAUAUCUGACAUGAGGCAAUUAUUAAUAACUAUGUUUCCAAAAACUUCUUAUAAAUCCUAAUUCUUUUAAUUUCCACAUAUAUUAUGUUUAUUUCAUCAUCACCUUGUCAAUGUAAUGUUACAUUCUCCAUUUGUGUAUGUGUAUAUUUCCGUUUUUUCCAUAUGUAAAUAUGGUUCUGUUAAGUGUUUAUAAGCAACCAAGUUUUUGUAAUCUGAUUAUACUGCUAUUUAUUUUUUAUACAUGCUAUUUAAAAAAAAGCAUGAUAGAGGACCCACACAUGUCUGUGCCAGUCAGGCUAGUCCUGUAAAAGCACUUACUUGUAUUUCGCCACCCUGGCUGCUGUUGUGUGGUGACGGUCCAGGGGAUGCUGCAGCUGAACUCUGGGAUUUAUCAGGAUACUAAAGGAAAACAGCACCAGUGUAAAAAUACUGAGAUGCAGUAAUACCACCAAACACUUCCGCUAUGACUGUACAUAGCUAAACAUACAGGUGAAGGGGAUCAAAACAUCACACACAAACAGGAAUACUUACAGGGUUAGCCAUGUCUUCCAGCACCUGGGCCGGCCCUGCGGGGGAGGAUGAGAAGUCUUCGGGACUCUAUUAAGGACACAUGAACUGUAAAUACCCCAAACCUUCUUAUAGUUUGUUUAUUUUUAUUUAUUUUAUUUUUCUGCACAGCUGGAAGUUAUUGCGUCUCGUACCUCUAUUGUGUACCUCGUCACGGCAUUCCUGUGUUUCACGUACCCGUCCAGCCACGACAGGGACUUCAGCAGCGGAGGGGUUCUCGCUGGUCUCGCUGGCUGGCCGCUUUUGCUGGUGAACUUUUUCUUGGCCCGAACAUACCUGUCCCGAAGUUGCUUCCACUUCUCCCGGCAUUUGUCAGGCUCUGUCUGGAGGGCGGCUGCUAUUUCUUGCCACGACUUGAUGCUAACGUGCGGGUUCUUGUAAUACUUGUGUCCAGGGUCAUAAAGGUUGUGGUGUAACGCAAUUUGUUCAGCUAACUGUUCCUCGAAACUUUCGAGCGCUGCCAUUUUUGUCAGCUUCCGUGAAGGUUUUCUCUUUCCGGGUCAACUCAGUGUUUCAACCAAUCAGCAUUCGAUCUACGUAUAGCGUCAUCAACGUCGACUACGUGCUGUUUGUUAUGAUUAUUAUUGUUAUUAUUGUUAAUAAUAAUAAUAAUAAUAAUAAUAAUAAUAAUAAUAAUAAUAAUAAUAAUAAUAAUUAAUAUAGAGAUAUAGAGAUACGAUUAAAAUGCCUAAAUAACAUAUGCAAAUUAAGAUUUUUGCAGUUGCAUCUUCACGCUAAUUUCUGCCAAAAAGGGAAACAAAUGA